GACGAACGCUGGCGGCGUGCUUAACACAUGCAAGUCGAACGGAAAGGCCCUGCUUGCAGGGUACUCGAGUGGCGAACGGGUGAGUAACACGUGGGUUAUCUGCCCUGCACUUCGGGAUAAGCCUGGGAAACUGGGUCUAAUACCGGAUAGGAGCCAUUUUUAGUGUGAUGGUUGGAAAGUUUUUUCGGUGUAGGAUGAGCUCGCGGCCUAUCAGCUUGUUGGUGGGGUAAUGGCCUACCAAGGCGGCGACGGGUAGCCGGCCUGAGAGGGUGGACAGCCACAUUGGGACUGAGAUACGUCCCAGACUCCUACGGGAGGCAGCAGUGGGGAAUAUUGCACAAUGGGCGCAAGCCUGAUGCAGCGACGCCGCGUGGGGGAUGACGGCCUUCGGGUUGUAAACUCCUUUCGCUAGGGACGAAGCUUUUUGUGACGGUACCUAGAUAAGAAGCACCGGCUAACUACGUG
rnacentral:rRNA from 1 species